CCACGGGCGGCAGCAGUGGGGAAUAUUGGACAAUGGGCGAAAGCCUGAUCCAGCCAUGCCGCGUGUGUGAAGAAGGCCUUCGGGUUGUAAAGCACUUUCAGUGGGGAAGAAAGCCUUGGGGCUAAUACCCUCGAGGAAGGACAUCACCCACAGAAGAAGCACCGGCUAACUCCGUGCCAGCAGCCGCGGUAAUACGGAGGGUGCGAGCGUUAAUCGGAAUUACUGGGCGUAAAGCGCGCGUAGGUGGUCUGAUAAGCCGGUUGUGAAAGCCCCGGGCUCAACCUGGGAACGGCAUCCGGAACUGUCAGGCUAGAGUGCAGGAGAGGAAGGUAGAAUUCCCGGUGUAGCGGUGAAAUGCGUAGAGAUCGGGAGGAAUACCAGUGGCGAAGGCGGCCUUCUGGACUGACACUGACGCUGAGGUGCGAAAGCGUGGGUAGCAAACAGGAUUAGAUACCCGGGUAGUC
rnacentral:rRNA from 1 species